GCUCCGGUGGUGUAGCCCGGUUAACAGGUUAGAGGCCGACAGCAUAGCGGCCUUUCGAGCCGUUGAUCGCGGGUUCAAAUCCCGCCCGGAGCACCA
rnacentral:tRNA from 1 species